rnacentral:rRNA from 1 species
CGUUAUGCGAUAGCAGUAUCCUGAGUAGGGCGGGACACGAGGAAUCCUGUCUGAAUCUGCCGGGACCACCCGGUAAGGCUAAAUACUCCCAAGAGACCGAUAGUGAACCAGUACCGUGAGGGAAAGGUGAAAAGAACCCCGAACAGGGGAGUGAAAUAGAACCUGAAACCAUACGCUUACAACCUGUCGGAGCAGCUUCGUGCUGUGACGGCGUGCCUAUUGAAUAAUGAGCCUACGAGUUACUAAUCACUGGCGAGGUUAAGUGCACGGAUGCACGGAGCCGAAGCGAAAGCGAGUCUGAAUAGGGCGUUUAGUCAGUGGUUGUAGACGCGAAACCUUGCGAUCUACCCUUGAGCAGGUUGAAGGUUGGGUAAAACCAACUGGAGGACCGAACGAAUAAGCGUUGAAAAGCUUCUCGAUGACUUGAGGGUAGGGGUGAAAGGCUAAUCAAGCUGGGAAAUAGCUCGUACUCCCCGAAAUGCCUUUAGGGGCAGCGUUGUAAUUAAGAGUCUACUGGAGGUAGAGCUACUGAUUGGAUGCGGGGGCUUCACCGCCUACCAAAUCCUGACAAACUCCGAAUGCCAGUAGUAUGAUUUACAGCAGUGAGCGACCGGGUGCUAAUGUCCGGUUACGAGAGUGGAACAACACAGACCAGCAACUAAGGUCCCCAAGAGUAUACUAAGUUGAUCUAACGAUGUUUUGCUGCAGAGACAGCUAGGAUGUUAGCUUGGAAGCAGCUAUUCAUUCAAAGAGUGCGUAACAGCUCACUAGUCGAGCGGCAAAGCGUGGAUAAUAAACGGGCAUCAAGUAUACCACCGAAGUUCUGGGCACGAAAGUGCGGUAGGGGAGCAUUCCAUUCCGCGUUGAAGCCGAACCGUGAGGUUUGGUGGAGUGUAUGGAAAAGCAAAUGUAGGCAUGAGUAACGAUAAUGCGGGAGAGUAACCCGCACACCGCAAGACCAAGGUUUCCUGAUCAACGCUAAUCGGAUCAGGGUUAGUCGGGUCCUAAGGGUAAGCCGAACGGUGAUCUCGAUGGAUAAUCGGUUAAUAUUCCGAUACUGACAUAUACCUCGAUGGAGAGACGAAGGAACGUAAGUGCCGCCACCUGACGGAAUAGGUGGUUAAAGGGCUUAGGUAUAGGGGCAGAUUAAGAGUUAGUCCUUGCUGAAACCUGACAGUACAGAGAGCCUACGGGCAAUUUGAUAGUGCACCCAAGUCGACUUCCGAGAAAAUCUUCUAAGUUAUAGUAUAUGUCACCCGUACCGUAAACCGACACAGGUGGUCGAGGAGAGUAUCCUAAGGUGCUCGAGUGAAUCACGGUUAAGGAACUAGGCAAAUUAACCCCGUAACUUCGGGAAAAGGGGUCCCUAUGAAAGUAGGGCGCAGCGAAGAGGUCCAGGCGACUGUUUAUCAAAAACACAGGGCUCUGCAAAUUCGAAAGAAGACGUAUAGGGCCUGACACCUGCCCGGUGCUGGAAGGUUAAGAGGGGAUGUCAUCGCAAGAGAAGCAUUGAAUCGAAGCCCCAGUAAACGGCGGCCGUAACUAUAACGGUCCUAAGGUAGCGAAAUUCCUUGUCGGGUAAGUUCCGACCUGCACGAAUGGUGUAACGAUCUGGACACUGUCUCAACCGUGAGCUCGGUGAAAUUGUAGUCCCGGUGAUGAUGCCGGGUACCCGCAACGGGACGAAAAGACCCCGUGAACCUUUACUAUAGCUUAACGCUGAAUUUGGGUACACAAUGUGUAGGAUAGGCAGGAGACUACGAAGCGGGCACGCCAGUGUUCGUGGAGUCGACGUUGAAAUACUGCCCUUUGUGUACUUGAGUUCUAACCCUCGAGAGGGGACACCGUUUGGUGGGUAGUUUGACUGGGGUGGUCGCCUCCAAAAGAGUAACGGAGGCUUCCCAAGGUACCCUCAGCACGAAUGGUAACCGUGCGUAGAGUGCAAUAGCAUAAGGGUGCUUGACUGUGAGACCAACAAGUCGAUCAGGUGCGAAAGCAGGGUAUAGUGAUCCGGUGGUUCUGCGUGGACUGGCCAUCGCUCAAAGGAUAAAAGGUACUCCGGGGAUAACAGGCUGAUCGCCGCCAAGAGCUCAUAUCGACGCGGCGGUUUGGCACCUCGAUGUCGGCUCGUCACAUCCUGGGGCUGGAGAAGGGCCCAAGGGGUGGGCUGUUCGCCCAUUAAAG